rnacentral:rRNA from 1 species
GCUUAACACAUGCAAGUCGAGGGGCAUCAGGAAGAAAGCUUGCUUUCUUUGCUGGCGACCGGCGCACGGGUGAGUAACACGUAUCCAACCUGCCCUUUACUCGGGGAUAGCCUUUCGAAAGAAAGAUUAAUACCCGAUGGCAUAAUGAUUCCGCAUGGUUUCAUUAUUAAAGGAUUCCGGUAAAGGAUGGGGAUGCGUUCCAUUAGGUUGUUGGUGAGGUAACGGCUCACCAAGCCUUCGAUGGAUAGGGGUUCUGAGAGGAAGGUCCCCCACAUUGGAACUGAGACACGGUCCAAACUCCUACGGGAGGCAGCAGUGAGGAAUAUUGGUCAAUGGGCGCUAGCCUGAACCAGCCAAGUAGCGUGAAGGAUGAAGGCUCUAUGGGUCGUAAACUUCUUUUAUAUAAGAAUAAAGUGCAGUAUGUAUACUGUUUUGUAUGUAUUAUAUGAAUAAGGAUCGGCUAACUCCGUGCCAGCAGCCGCGGUAAUACGGAGGAUCCGAGCGUUAUCCGGAUUUAUUGGGUUUAAAGGGAGCGUAGGUGGACUGGUAAGUCAGUUGUGAAAGUUUGCGGCUCAACCGUAAAAUUGCAGUUGAUACUGUCAGUCUUGAGUACAGUAGAGGUGGGCGGAAUUCGUGGUGUAGCGGUGAAAUGCUUAGAUAUCACGAAGAACUCCGAUUGCGAAGGCAGCUCACUGGACUGCAACUGACACUGAUGCUCGAAAGUGUGGGUAUCAAACAGGAUUAGAUACCCUGGUAGUCCACACAGUAAACGAUGAAUACUCGCUGUUUGCGAUAUACAGUAAGCGGCCAAGCGAAAGCAUUAAGUAUUCCACCUGGGGAGUACGCCGGCAACGGUGAAACUCAAAGGAAUUGACGGGGGCCCGCACAAGCGGAGGAACAUGUGGUUUAAUUCGAUGAUACGCGAGGAACCUUACCCGGGCUUAAAUUGCAGUGGAAUGAUGUGGAAACAUGUCAGUGAGCAAUCACCGCUGUGAAGGUGCUGCAUGGUUGUCGUCAGCUCGUGCCGUGAGGUGUCGGCUUAAGUGCCAUAACGAGCGCAACCCUUAUCUUUAGUUACUAACAGGUUAUGCUGAGGACUCUAGAGAGACUGCCGUCGUAAGAUGUGAGGAAGGUGGGGAUGACGUCAAAUCAGCACGGCCCUUACGUCCGGGGCUACACACGUGUUACAAUGGGGGGUACAGAAGGCAGCUAGCGGGUGACCGUAUGCUAAUCCCAAAAGCCUCUCUCAGUUCGGAUCGAAGUCUGCAACCCGACUUCGUGAAGCUGGAUUCGCUAGUAAUCGCGCAUCAGCCACGGCGCGGUGAAUACGUUCCCGGGCCUUGUACACACCGCCCGUCAAGCCAUGGGAGCCGGGGGUACCUGAAGUACGUAACCGCAAGGAUCGUCCUAGGGUAAAACUGGUGACUGGGGCUAAGUC